rnacentral:rRNA from 1 species
GAUGAACGCUGGCGGCGUGCCUAAUACAUGCAAGUCGAGCGAACGGACGAGAAGCUUGCUUCUCUGAUGUUAGCGGCGGACGGGUGAGUAACACGUGGAUAACCUACCUAUAAGACUGGGAUAACUUCGGGAAACCGGAGCUAAUACCGGAUAAUAUUUUGAACCGCAUGGUUCAAAGGUGAAAGACGGUCUUGCUGUCACUUAUAGAGGGAUCCGCGCUGCAUUAGCUAGUUGGUAAGGUAACGGCUUACCAAGGCAACGAUGCAUAGCCGACCUGAGAGGGUGAUCGGCCACACUGGAACUGAGACACGGUCCAGACUCCUACGGGAGGCAGCAGUAGGGAAUCUUCCGCAAUGGGCGAAAGCCUGACGGAGCAACGCCGCGUGAGUGAUGAAGGUCUUCGGAUCGUAAAACUCUGUUAUUUGGGAAGAACAUAUGUGUAAGUAACUGUGCACAUCUUGACGGUACCUAAUCAGAAAGCCACGGCUAACUACGUG